rnacentral:rRNA from 1 species
AGAGUUUGAUCCUGGCUCAGAUUGAACGCUGGCGGUAUGCUUUACACAUGCAAGUCGAACGGAUCAAGAAGCUUGCUUCUUGGUUAGUGGCGAACGGGUGAGUAAUAUAUCGGAACAUAUCCGGAAGUGGGGGAUAACGUAGCGAAAGUUACGCUAAUACCGCAUAUGCCCUGAGGGGGAAAGGGGGGGAUCGCAAGACCUCUCGCUUUCGGAGUGGCCGAUAUCGGAUUAGCUAGAUGGUGAGGUAAAGGCUCACCAUGGCGACGAUCCGUAGCUGGUCUGAGAGGACGACCAGCCACACUGGAACUGAGACACGGUCCAGACUCCUACGGGAGGCAGCAGUGGGGAAUUUUGGACAAUGGGCGCAAGCCUGAUCCAGCCAUACCGCGUGAGUGAAGAAGGCCUUCGGGUUGUAAAGCUCUUUCAGCCGGAAAGAAAUCGCAUUCCUUAAUACGGGG